rnacentral:rRNA from 1 species
UGGGGAACCUGCCCCAUAGUCUGGGAUACCACUUGGAAACAGGUGCUAAUACCGGAUAAGAAAGCGGAUCGCAUGAUCAGCUUUUAAAAGGCGGCGCAAGCUGUCGCUAUGGGAUGGCCCCGCGGUGCAUUAGCUAGUUGGUAAGGUAAAGGCUUACCAAGGCGAUGAUGCAUAGCCGAGUUGAGAGACUGAUCGGCCACAUUGGGACUGAGACACGGCCCAAACUCCUACGGGAGGCAGCAGGG